rnacentral:rRNA from 1 species
CGCCUCCUGAACAACUAUAGGAGGUCCAGCCUGCCCAGUGACUCUGUUCAACGGCCGCGGUAUCCUAACCGUGCAAAGGUAGCGUAAUCACUUGUCCUUUAAAUGCGGACUAGUAUGAACGGCACCACGAGGGUUACACUGUCUCCUUUUCCCAAUCAGUGAAACUGAUCUCCCCGUGAAGAAGCGGGGAUACACAUAUAAGACGAGAAGACCCUAUGGAGCUUUAAACAAGACAACAAUCGCGACACAAUUUAAAUUUCAGAAUUCCCCGCCCUCACCCAAGCGACAUGAUUGCUAGUUUUAGGUUGGGGUGACCGCGGAGUAUAAACCAACCUCCCUGUUGAAGGGGCCCUCCCCUAAGCAAAAACCCACAAUUUUAUGCAUCAAUAAAUUGACAUCAAUUGACCCAAUAUUUUGACCAACGAACCAAGUUACCCUAGGGAUAACAGCGCAAUCCAUUUUGAGAGCCCCUAUCGACAAAUGGGUUUACGACCUCGAUGUUGGAUCAGGGUAUCCAAGUGGCGCAGCCGCUACUAAAGGUUCGUUUGUUCAACGACUAAGACCCU